rnacentral:rRNA from 1 species
GGGGAAUUUUGGACAAUGGGCGCAAGCCUGAUCCAGCAAUGCCGCGUGCAGGAAGAAGGCCUUCGGGUUGUAAACUGCUUUUGUCAGGGAAGUAAUCUUCUGGGUUAAUACCUCGGGAGGAUGACGGUACCUGAAGAAUAAGCACCGGCUAACUACGUGCCAGCAGCCGCGGUAAUACGUAGGGUGCGAGCGUUAAUCGGAAUUACUGGGCGUAAAGCGUGCGCAGGCGGCUUUGCAAGACAGAGGUGAAAUCCCCGGGCUCAACCUGGGAACUGCCUUUGUGACUGCAAGGCUAGAGUACGGCAGAGGGGGAUGGAAUUCCGCGUGUAGCAGUGAAAUGCGUAGAUAUGCGGAGGAACACCAAUGGCGAAGGCAAUCCCCUGGGCCUGUACUGACGCUCAUGCACGAAAGCGUGGGGAGCAAAC